GCAUCGGUGGGGUACUGGAAACCCACAGCCCAGCCGUGGAUGAAAUCAAGAACGUUCUUUGCGAGGCUGAGCCCGGGGUUCGAAUCCCCGCCGGUGUA